UAGACGAUGGUGUAAUCAUACUCGCUAA
rnacentral:sRNA from 1 species